rnacentral:rRNA from 1 species
UACGUAGGGAGCGAGCGUUGUCCGGAAUCAUUGGGCGUAAAGCGCGCGUAGGCGGUUUGUCACGUCGGGAGUGAAAACUCAGGGCUUAACCCUGAGCCUGCUUCCGAUACGGGCAGACUAAAGGUAUGCAGGGGAGAAUGGAAUUCCUGGUGUAGUGGUGAAAUGCGCAGAUAUCAGGAGGAACACCAGUGGCGAAGGCGGUUCUCUGGGCAUUACCUGACGCUGAGGAGCGAAUGUGUGGGGAGCGAACAGG